AUUGAACGCUGGCGGCAGGCCUAACACAUGCAAGUCGAACGAGUGGCGGACGGGUGAGUAAUGUCUGGGCAACUGCCCGCUGGAGGGGGAUAACUACUAGAAAUAGUAGCUAAUACCGCACACCGUCGGUUGUGCCAAGAUGGGAUUAGCUAGGAGGUGGGGUACCGGCGCAACUAGGCGACGAUCACCAGCUGGUCUGCGAGGAUGACCAGCAAAACGGGAACUGAGACACGGUCCAGAAGCCUACGGGAGGCAGCAGUGGGUAAUAUUGCACAAUGGGAGCAAGCCUGAUGCAGCCAUGCGGCGUGUAUGAAGAAGGCCUUCGGGUUGUAAAGUACUUUCAGCGAGGAGGCGUUACUCGCAGAAGAAGCACCGGCUAAGUCCGUGCCAGCAGCCGCGGUAAUAC
rnacentral:rRNA from 1 species